rnacentral:rRNA from 1 species
UACGUAGGGUCCGAGCGUUGUCCGGAAUUAUUGGGCGUAAAGGGCUCGUAGGCGGUUUGUCGCGUCGGGAGUGAAAACACGGGGCUUAACCCCGUGCCUGCUUCCGAUACGGGCAGACUAGAGGUAUGCAGGGGAGAACGGAAUUCCUGGUGUAGCGGUGAAAUGCGUAGAUAUCCGGAGGAACACCGGUGGCGAAGGCGGCUUCCUGGACCGAUCACUGACGCUGAGGCGCGAAAGCUAGGGGAGCAAACGGG